GACAAACGCUGGCGGCGUGCCUAACACAUGCAAGUCGAGCGCGAAAAGGGCUUCGGCCCUGAGUAAAGCGGCGAACGGGUGAGUAACACGUGGGCAACCUGCCUCAAGGACUGGGAUAACUCCGGGAAACCGGGGCUAAUACCGGACGAUGUCGUCCCGCGCAAGCGGGCCGACCAAAGGUAGCUUCGGCCUCCGCCUUGAGAUGGGCCCGCGUCCUAUCAGCUUGUUGGUGAGGUAACGGCUCACCAAGGCUACGACGGGUAGCUGGUCUGAGAGGAUGAUCAGCCACACUGGGACUGAGAUACGGCCCAGACUCCUACGGGAGGCAGCAGUGGGGAAUCUUGCGCAAUGGGCGAAAGCCUGACGCAGCAACGCCGCGUGAGCGAAGAAGGCCUUCGGGUUGUAAAGCUCUGUCAGGGGGAAAGAAGGCACCUGGGUUAAUAGCCCAAGGGCUGACGGUACCUCCAAAGGAAGCCACGGCUAACUACGUGCCAGCCGCCGCAGUAAAAC
rnacentral:rRNA from 1 species